AGCAGCCGCGGUAAUUCCAGCUCCAAUAGCGUAUAUUAAAGUUGUUGCAGUUAAAAAGCUCGUAGUUGAAUUUCGGGAUCAAGGAAUCGGUCAUGCCUUGGUAUGUACUGGUUUUAUUGGUUCUCACCUUCUAAAGAACCAUAAUGUCAUUUAUUUGAUGUUAUGGGGAAUUAGGACUGUUACCUUAGAAAAAAAUUAGAGUGUUUAAAGCAAGCUAAACGCUUGAAUACAUUAGCAUGGAAUAAUGAAAUAGGACGUUCGAUCCUAUUUUGUUGGUUUCUAGGAUUGACGUAAUGAUUAAUAGGGAUAGUUGGGGGCAUUAGUAUUCAAUUGUCAGAGGUGAAAUUCUUGGAUUUAUUGAAGACUAACUACUGC
rnacentral:rRNA from 1 species